GACAGAGGGUGCAAACGUUGCUCGGAAUUACUGGGCGUAAAGCGCGUGUAGGUGGUCUGGCAAGUCGGGUGUGAAAGCCCGGGGCUCAACCCCGGAAGUGCACUCGAAACUACCAGGCUGGAGUACUGAAGAGGAUAGCGGAAUUCCCGGUGUAGAGGUGAAAUUCGUAGAUAUCGGGAGGAACACCAGUGGCGAAGGCGGCUAUCUGGGCAGAUACUGACACUGAGACGCGAAAGCGUGGGAAG
rnacentral:rRNA from 1 species